rnacentral:rRNA from 1 species
AGACCCGAAACCCGGUGAUCUAGCCAUGGGCAGGUUGAAGGUUGGGUAACACUAACUGGAGGACCGAACCGACUAAUGUUGAAAAAUUAGCGGAUGACCUGUGGCUGGGGGUGAAAGGCCAAUCAAACCGGGAGAUAGCUGGUUCUCCCCGAAAGCUAUUUAGGUAGCGCCUCGUGAAUUCAUCUCCGGGGGUAGAGCACUGUUUCGGCUAGGGGGCCAUCCCGGCUUACCAACCCGAUGCAAACUGCGAAUACCGGAGAAUGUUAUCACGGGAGACACACGGCGGGUGCUAACGUCCGUCGUGAAGAGGGAAACAACCCAGACCGCCAGCUAAGGUCCCAAAGUCAUGGUUAAGUGGGAAACGAUGUGGGAAGGCCCAGACAGCCAGGAUGUUGGCUUAGAAGCAGCCAUCAUUUAAAGAAAGCGUAAUAGCUCACUGGUCGAGUCGGCCUGCGCGGAAGAUGUAACGGGGCUAAACCAUGCACCGAAGCUGCGGCAGCGACACUCAGGUGUUGUUGGGUAGGGGAGCGUUCUGUAAGCCUGUGAAGGUGGCCUGUGAGGGUUGCUGGAGGUAUCAGAAGUGCGAAUGCUGACAUAAGUAACGAUAAAGCGGGUGAAAAGCCCGCUCGCCGGAAGACCAAGGGUUCCUGUCCAACGUUAAUCGGGGCAGGGUGAGUCGACCCCUAAGGCGAGGCCGAAAGGCGUAGUCGAUGGGAAACGGGUUAAUAUUCCCGUACUUGGUGUUACUGCGAAGGGGGGACGGAGAAGGCUAUGUUGGCCGGGCGACGGUUGUCCCGGUUUAAGCGUGUAGGUGUGUGUUCCAGGUAAAUCCGGUUCACUUUAACACUGAGGCGUGACGACGAGGCACUACGGUGCUGAAGCAACAAAUGCCCUGCUUCCAGGAAAAGCCUCUAAGCAUCAGGUAACAUCAAAUCGUACCCCAAACCGACACAGGUGGUCAGGUAGAGAAUACCAAGGCGCUUGAGAGAACUCGGGUGAAGGAACUAGGCAAAAUGGUGCCGUAACUUCGGGAGAAGGCACGCUGACACGUAGGUGAAGUGAUUUACUCAUGGAGCUGAAGUCAGUCGAAGAUACCAGCUGGCUGCAACUGUUUAUUAAAAACACAGCACUGUGCAAACACGAAAGUGGACGUAUACGGUGUGACGCCUGCCCGGUGCCGGAAGGUUAAUUGAUGGGGUCAGCGCAAGCGAAGCUCCUGAUCGAAGCCCCGGUAAACGGCGGCCGUAACUAUAACGGUCCUAAGGUAGCGAAAUUCCUUGUCGGGUAAGUUCCGACCUGCACGAAUGGCGUAAUGAUGGCCAGGCUGUCUCCACCCGAGACUCAGUGAAAUUGAACUCGCUGUGAAGAUGCAGUGUACCCGCGGCAAGACGGAAAGACCCCGUGAACCUUUACUAUAGCUUGACACUGAACAUUGAGCCUUGAUGUGUAGGAUAGGUGGGAGGCUUUGAAGUGUGGACGCCAGUCUGCAUGGAGCCGACCUUGAAAUACCACCCUUUAAUGUUUGAUGUUCUAACGUGGACCCGUAAUCCGGGUUGCGGACAGUGUCUGGUGGGUAGUUUGACUGGGGCGGUCUCCUCCUAAAGAGUAACGGAGGAGCACGAAGGUUGGCUAAUCCUGGUCGGACAUCAGGAGGUUAGUGCAAUGGCAUAAGCCAGCUUGACUGCGAGCGUGACGGCGCGAGCAGGUGCGAAAGCAGGUCAUAGUGAUCCGGUGGUUCUGAAUGGAAGGGCCAUCGCUCAACGGAUAAAAGGUACUCCGGGGAUAACAGGCUGAUACCGCCCAAGAGUUCAUAUCGACGGCGGUGUUUGGCACCUCGAUGUCGGCUCAUCACAUCCUGGGGCUGAAGUAGGUCCCAAGGGUAUGGCUGUUCGCCAUUUAAAGUGGUACGCGAGCUGGGUUUAGAACGUCGUGAGACAGUUCGGUCCCUAUCUGCCGUGGGCGCUGGAGAACUGAGGGGGGCUGCUCCUAGUACGAGAGGACCGGAGUGGACGCAUCACUGGUGUUCGGGUUGUCAUGCCAAUGGCACUGCCCGGUAGCUAAAUGCGGAAGAGAUAAGUGCUGAAAGCAUCUAAGCACGAAACUUGCCCCGAGAUGAGUUCUCCCUGAGACUUAAAGUCUCCUGAAGGAACGUUGAAGACGGCGACGUUGAUAGGCCGGGUGUGUAAGCGCAGUGAUGCGUUGAGCUAACCGGUACUAAUGAACCGUGAGGCUUAACCUUACAACGCCGAAG